UACGUAGGUCCCGAACGUUGCGCGAAUUUACUGGGCGUCAAGGGUCCGUAGGCGGUUUAGCAAGUGGUUGGUGAAAUUUCACGGCUCAACCGUGAAACUGCCUUCCAAACUGCUAAACUUGAGGCAGGGAGAGGUCGGCGGAAUUCCCGGUGUAGCGGUGACAUGCGUAGAGAUCGGGAGGAACACCAGUGGCGAAGGCGGCCGACUGGAACUGUCCUGACGCUGAGGGACGAAAGCUAGGGGAGCAAACCGG
rnacentral:rRNA from 1 species